UCUUAAUGCUUUACUUCAUAAAGCAAUAAAUCCAUCAUAAAACCUUGUACUUUACUCAAAGGCCUUAUCUCAACACAUGCAUUACGUGUCCCUUCUUAGGUUUCAAUCAGUGAAAAUCCACUAGGUAGCAUGAGCAACUAUGACAUCAGCCAAUCAUUCUGAACUUCGAUAUCAACCGGAAUGAGGCUUAUUUAGCGUGUUAUGGACAUUAAGCAGCAUUAAGAUUACUAAAGCAACAAAGAAACGACUGCUGUCAUCCCACUGUCUUCUGUGUUUUGCCUUUAUAAGCAAAAAUAUUGAAGAUUAUUAAGACAACUUUUCUUCUGUAACUUACUGGAAGAAGAAUGAGGCCAAUAUUCUGUAUGACUGUGCUACUUCAAUAUCAGAAAUCGACUAACACCACGCAACCAACGCAAUGGCAGGUACACAGAAGAUAAUCUGUAACACUACCAUGUAAAUGUAUUGAGUAAAUAAAACAUAAAUAUACCUAAUGAAAACUUGUGUUUUUCUGACAAAGCUCAUAUUUAUUUAACCUAACUUACUGACCAGUCAACCUAUGUACCAUUUAAUUAUCAGGAUGUAUCAAUUAAACCAGUUUGCUAUAUUUACUAAUACAUACAUAUGAUCCACCUCAGAGUCCAGAGGGCUAUUCCACCAAGGAAUCCCCACCCACCUCAAUCACUUCAGUGAAAUUCCCUAGACAUCUUGCUCUCUAAAUAGUGAAAAGAAGAGUAGCCGGGCACAGUGGCUCACGCCUGUAAUCCCAGCACUUUGGGAGGCUGAGGCGGGCGGAUCACUUGAGGUCGGGAGUUUGAGACCAGCCUGACCAACAUGGAGAAACCCCGUCUCUACUAAAAAAUAUAUAUAUAUAAAAUUAGCCGGGCGUGGUGGCACAUGCCUCUAAUCCCAACUACUCAGGAGGCUGAGGCAGGAGAAUCACUUGAACCUGGGAGGCGGAGAUUGCAGUGAGCUGAGAUCGUGCCACUACACUCCAGCCUAGGAAACAAGAGUGAAACUCCAUCUCAAAAAAAAAAAAAAAAAAAAAAAAGAAGAGGAGACAAUGACAUGGCUUAUAAAACUUUCCAAAAAAAAAAAAAACUUUCCAGUGUGAAAUUUUAAACAAAUGUUUGUGGAAACUCGUCUCAGGUAUAAUCACUUUAAUUCUUUUUCUUUUAAACUAAGUCUGAGGCUGGGCAUGGUAGCUCAUGCCUGUAAUCUCAGCACUCUGGGAGGCAGAGGUGGAUGGAUCCUUUGUGGCCAGGAGUUCGAGACCAGCCUCGUCAACGUGGCAAGAGCCCAUCUCUACUAAAAAUACAAGAAUUAGCCAAGUCAGUGGCGCGUGCCUGUAGUCCCAGCUACUCAGGAGGCUGAGGAGGGAGAAUCACUUGAACCUGGGAGGUGGAGGUUGUAGUGAGCCAAGAUCACAUCACUGCACUCCAGCCUGGGUGACAGAGUGAGACUGUAUCAAAAAUAAAAUAAAAUAAUCUGAACUGGACAGAAUUUACAUUAAUUCUUAAUGUAAGUAUUAAGAUAUUAGUAGUUUACAUCUGACCAAGCUCUGUAAGAACACCACAGCAACAAUAUUUAGAUUAUUCCUAAAGUCUUACCUCAGAUCCAACUUAUAAUAAUAUUGAAAUAGCUUUCCAAUGACUUUCCAGUCUCUAGCCUCUACUUUCUUUUCCUAAAACAUACUCUUACUCCUCAAGUCUACUUAAAAGUUUAAACUUCUUAAUAGCAUAAUUUAGAAAAAAUUCCAUUCACCAAAUUAAAAAAAAUUGCUCAAAGAAAAUGAAAAUCUGGAAUGUGUUCCUAAAAGGAAGAAUUAACAUUCCCCUCUCCACAUCUGUGAAAAACAGCAACAACACUCAAAGCCUCCCUAAUAUUACUAGAAGAUAAACUAGCUAGACUAUUAUCUCAUUAAAAACAGGGGCCAUGUCAGUCUUGUUCACUGUAGCAACUAGCAGUUCCUAGCACUGACACGUACUAAGUGCUUGACAAUGUGUUCUGUUUUGUUUCGUUCUGAAGAGACAGUGUCUUGCUCUGUCAUCCAGGCUGGAGUGCAUUGGCAUGAUCAUAGCUCACUAUAACCUCAAACUCCUGGACUUGAGCGAUCCUCUCGCCUUAGCCUCCCAAGUCGCUGGGACUACAGGCCCACACUACCACACCAGCUAAUUUUUAAAUUUUUCUGUAGAGAUGGGGUCUCACUGUAAUCUUGAACAGCUGGCUUCAAGCAAUCCUGCCGCCUUGGCCUCCCAAAGUGCUGGGAUUACAGGCAUGAGCCACUGUGCCCACAUAACAAUGUUUCUUAAGUGAAUACAUGAAUAGCUCAUCAUCUAUGGAAUACUGUGCUUUACACCAAGUAGUUUGCAUUUAUUAUUUAGUAUUCAUAACAGUCUACCUGCAACCAUUGCUUUUCCUAUUUUAUAGAGGAGCCAGAGGCUAAGUAAAUUCCUCAGUCUCACACACAGUGAAUGGCAAAGCCUGGGUUCAAAUUCAGUUGCCAUUCUCCAAAGCUCACAGAUUUCCAAGCAACUUCUCUUUCGAAAAGCACAAAAGGGAGCUGUUCGGGAUAAAAGAAUUAUUCUAAGACACAAUUAUGAUAGUGGCUGUAAAACUUAACAAAUUUACUAUAAAUCACUUAUAAUAAAUGAAUUUUUCUUUUUUAAUUUUUUUGAGAUAGAGUCUCACUCUGUCACCCAGGCUGGAGUCCAGUGGCACGAUCUUGGCUCACUGCAACCUCUGCCUCCCAGGUUCAAGCAGUUCUCUGCCUGAGCCUUCGGAGUAGCUGAGAUUACAGGCCCGCGCCACCAUGCCUGGCUAAUUUUUGUAUUUUCGGUAGAGAUGGAGUUUCACCAUCUUGGCCAGGCUGGUCUUGAACUCCUGACCUCAUGAUACACCAGCCUCGGCCUCCCAAAGGGCUGGGAUUACAGGCGUGAGCCACCGCACCUGGCCAUGAAUUUUAUAGUAUGUAAAGUAUGCUUUAAUAAAGCUUAAGAAUGAGGCUGAUCUAUGUGUAGUGAUUUGGAAUAAAUCAUAACACAUAAAGUGAAAAAAAUCUAGGCACAGAGCAGAAGAUAGAGAUACUCUCUUUUGUAUAAACAUAUGUAUGUGCUGACAGAAGAAUUCAUUUUUUCUGGAAAGAUUCAGAAACAGCUGUAAACAAUGACUGCCUCAAAAAAAGGUUCUGGAUACCUGGAGUAGGAAAAAGCCUACUUUUCAGUGUACAAGCUUUUCUACUAUGAAUUGUUCACUAUGUCCAUCUAUUACCUUUCCAACUCAAAAAAAAAAAAAGGGAAAAACUGGGAAUAUAAUCAUCAGUGUAAUCAUGUGCAUUUAACUACAAUUUCUUAAAUUUUAAGUAUCUACACAAUUACAUAAUCCCAUUUCCACUGAAAAGGAAAGCAGACUCAGAAUGUGAGAGUGAUUCUCUUCAUUCCUUUAGAAAAAAUACAUUUCAGGCUCCCCUGCUAAACACUGUCCAUCUUUGGAUCCAUGAUACCUUAAUACAGCCCAAUAAAUUCUCAUAGAAAAAAAGUCAGAGACUUUACUUCUAAGUAUCAAUAUUUAAGAAAAUCUAGUUAAUAUUUUAACUGUAUGAUAGAAUUGUUUUGAACUUAUAUUUUAGUCCCCCAAAAGACUAUUUUAGCAUAUUUUAUUUAACAUAUAUAAACGGUUCUUAAUCAUCCACAUUAUUUUUCAAUUUUUGAAGAAAAAAUAUUUCACUUUAAAACACUAAAAAAUUUUAGAAAGCAUUCUACCUGUUGAUCAAGUAUUCAUCCUUGGUCUUAUGAUGAAACACAGGAAUUGGAACACCCCAAACUCUUUGCCUUGAUAUACACCAAUAUGGCCGCCUGUCCAUCAUUUCAACCAUGCCAUUCAGUGCUGAUCCAGGAAUAAAUUUCACCUUUUUUAACAAUUCCUGCAAUUAAUUCAUAAAUCAAGUCUUGUGAGAGAAAGCAGAACAAGUAUUCUAGAACAGUCAAUUUUCCAAAUGCAUUUGUUUCUUUUGGAUGUUUGUAGCCAUUCACAUACCUCCCUUACCCUCCCCUCAAAAAAACAACUAAAGAACUAAAAGAUUUCAGAGCAAAUAAGGCAAAGUAAAAAUGGAGCCGCGAAGAACUUAAUAAAUAAUAUCGGGAGCAGUGAUAAUAUCAGGAGCAUUGUUGCAUUUUUUAACAAUGUUACAAAAGAUUUCAUACCAAUUUCUAAUUUACACCAACCCUAGAUCAAAACUGGUAAUAAAAGCUUUCAUAGAACUAUUAUACUUCACUAAACUAUAGUUAAAAUCAAUUCAAACUUGAUUUCCACCAUUUUUUAAAAUGCUUAAAAAAUAAAUUACUAUCGUAGACUGCCAAAAAAAGAUUGCGAUAUACCUAAUUUUACAUAAUAUAGUUUACAACACAGAAAACACUUUCUCAAAAUAAGCCCAAGUAUGUGGUUCAAACCUGUAAUCCCAGCAUUUUGGUAGGCUGAGGUGGGAGGAUCACUUGAGCCCAAGAGUUCAAGGUUGCAGUGAGCUAUGAGCAUGGCAGUGCACUCCAACCUGGGCGACAGAGCAAGAGCCUGUCUCUAAAAUAAAUCUCUCUCUCUCUCUAUAUAUAUAUAUCUAUCGACAAAUGGCUAACAGUUACUUCCUCUCAAGAAAGCUCCCUUCCUCCAUUCCCAAAAUAAGGUUGAAAACUGCUACCAUUUGAUUUAAUUUGUCAACUAGCAAAAGAUUAACUGUAUAGCAAAAAUGUUUACUAAUAGUCUCCAAAAAGGUCAAAAUGUUAACUUCAUUUUAAAAAAUCUUUCUAUCCAUUAAUAAAAGCAUUUUUACAUUUUCAAAGAAGGUUUAAAUGGUUUCCUCACUCACCGUAACUACCAGAAGUCCCCUCCCACAAAGCUCUCUGUAGCACCACCUAUUGGCAGAAUGGCAAAAUCUCUACAAAUCAAUUUGAUUAAUACCAUACUUGGUUUAAAAGUCUAAGAAAUGUGAAUAUUGAAUAGAUAUUUGAUUUUGCUAAGGAAUAACUAUUACUUUUUAAAGGUGGUGAUAAUGGCAUGGGAAUUAUGCUUUAAAGAGUUUGGCCGAGCAUGGUGGCUCACGUCUGUAAUCCCAGCACUUUGGGAGGCUGAGGAGGGCGGAUCACCCGAGCUCAGGAGUUCAAGACCAGCCUGGCCAACAUGGAGAAACUCCGUCUCUACCAAAAAUACAAAAAAAUUAGCCGGGCAUGGUGGUGCAUGCCUAUAAUUCCAGCUAAUCAGAAGGCUUAGGCAGGGAAUUGCUUGAACCCAGGAGGUGGAGGCUGCUGUGAGCCAAGAUCACAUCACUGCACUCCAGCCUGGGCAACAAGAGUGAAACUCCAUCUCAAGAAAAUAAAUAAAUAAAUACAGAGUUUAUCUUUGGCUGACACCUGUAAUUACAGCACUCUGAGAGGCCGAAGCAGGCAGACUGCUUGAGCUCAGGAGUUCGACACCAACCGGGGCAACUUGACAAAACCCUAUCUCUAGAAAAAAUACAAAAAUUAGCCAGA
rnacentral:lncRNA from 10 species